GGAAACACUAAGUAAAAGGUAGAGUAACAUAAUCAGAUUUGUAUUUUUUACUCUAGCUUUAUUGUGUCAAAACGGAAACAAAAGGGUGCAUCUGAACUUGAGUGCCAAUUCAUCAAAUCUCAGUAUUGAAAACAAACUAUAAAUCUAGAAGAAAAAAAAAAAAGCUAAAUAUGGAGCAAUUCCUUCAAAACAAAACCACUAACACCAUCUGGGAAAAGGGAGUAAAGCAGCAUCUCUGAGCCUGUGGUUGGGAUUAUGUCAGGGAGAGGGGUAACAUUUCAGUCUCUGGAAUAAUGCAUUGUAGUCACAUUUAAGAUUGGAUUCUUAAAUCCUCAAAUAUUAGAAAUAUAACUACCAAAAGUUAGUCUGACUGCAGUUCUAAGACAAACAAAAAAUACUGCUUCCAACAGUAUGUUGUAAACAGGACCCCUUUGCCUGUUGCCUCAGUGCAAAAGAAAUUAAUUGGGUUUAUAUAAAAUGAAUUUUAGAAGUGGACUGGGAAUUAGAAUUAGGACUGUUUUUGUUGUUUGUAUUAAUUUGCUCUGUUUUUUUCU
rnacentral:lncRNA from 1 species